rnacentral:rRNA from 1 species
UGGGGAAUAUUGCACAAUGGGCGCAAGCCUGAUGCAGCCAUGCCGCGUGUAUGAAGAAGGCCUUCGGGUUGUAAAGUACUUUCAGCGGGGAGGAAGGCGAUAAGGUUAAUAACCUUGUCGAUUGACGUUACCCGCAGAAGAAGCACCGGCUAACUCCGUGCCAGCAGCCGCGGUAAUACGGAGGGUGCAAGCGUUAAUCGGAAUUACUGGGCGUAAAGCGCACGCAGGCGGUCUGUCAAGUCGGAUGUGAAAUCCCCGGGCUCAACCUGGGAACUGCAUUCGAAACUGGCAGGCUAGAGUCUUGUAGAGUGGGGUAGAAUUCCAGGUGUAGCGGUGAAAUGCGUAGAGAUCUGGAGGAAUACCGGUGGCGAAGGCGGCCCCCUGGACAAAGACUGACGCUCAGGUGCGAAAGCGUGGGGAGCAAACA